AGAGGCGAUGAAAGACGUAAUAACUUGCGAUAAGCCCAGAUUAGGUAGUAAUAACCUUUUGAGUCUGGGAUUUCUGAAUGGGGAAACCCACGUGCAUAAGCACGUAUCCUGUUGUGAAUACAUAGCAGCAGGAGGCAAACCGGGGGAACUGAAACAUCUAAGUACCCCGAGGAAGAGAAAUCAACCGAGAUUCCGAAAGUAGCGGCGAGCGAAAUUGGAUUAGC
rnacentral:rRNA from 1 species